rnacentral:rRNA from 1 species
UACGGAGGGUGCAAGCGUUAUCCGGAUUUACUGGGUUUAAAGGGUGCGUAGGUGGGUAGGUAAGUCAGUGGUGAAAUCUUCGAGCUUAACUCGGAAAACUGCCAUUGAUACUAUCUGUCUUGAAUACUUUGGAGGUAAGCGGAAUAUGUCAUGUAGCGGUGAAAUGCUUAGAUAUGACAUAGAACACCAAUUGCGAAGGCAGCUUACUACACAGUCAUUGACACUGAGGCACGAAAGCGUGGGGAUCAAACAGG